GCGGCGCCCAUUUCCCCAUCAGUAACACCGCCGCCUGGCCUCCUCCUCCUCCACCACCACCACUGCCUACUCCUCCUUACCCUUCGGAAUGGCGACGUCAAGAUCUUCGCUAUCUCCAUGGACAGCGACCAGAUCCGAUCCCGCACGGACCAGGAACCCUAGAGAAUUCGGUCGUCGCGGUGCUAAGAAACCCCCUUUCGCACACCCCGGAAGCUACAUGGCGGUGAAAAGCCAAAAGCUUCGGGAGCAAUUCGAUGCUAGUGCGGUCUUCCGUGGCCGGCUCGGAAGCGGGAAGGGCAUUUUCUUUGGUAUCUCGAUCUUCGUUGACGGAUUCACGAUCCCUUCCAGUCAGGAUCUCAGAGCUUGUAUGAUGAUUCAUGGUGGUCGGUACGAGAAUUACUUCUCGAGGCGCUCUGUAACGCAUAUCAUUUGCAGCCAUCUGCCUGACAGCAAAAUGAGGAACUUCAGGGCAUUCAGUCGAGGGCUUCCAGUUGUAAAACCUGCUUGGGUGAUUGAAUCUGUGGCGGCUAAUAAGCUUUUGAGCUGGGUUCCUUACCAGUUAAAUGAGCUUGAGAAUGGGACUCAUAAGCAACAAAAGCUGUCUUCCUUUUUUACUUCUAAGAGCGUGUCAAAUCGGAGGGAUGAAAAAACCACUAUAGCUCUUAGUUCACUAUCUACCAGAAGGCCGUUGUUACUAAAGAAUGAAAAAAUGAAUCAGUUGAUAGUUGAUGAGCAAGGUGAAUGCUCAACAUAUAGAGAAGCUAUGUUUAAUGGAACGGAAAAGUUUUGUGAGGUGGAAUAUGAAGCACCAAGUAUUAAUGAUAUGAAAGAAAAGCAUAAGGGAAUAGAGAUGGGACAGAGUUUUGCAUGUGUGAACAAAGUAAAGCUGAAGGAACAAUUAGAUAAUCCAUACAAUGGACCUUGCAAUCAGCAGCAGGAGGGAGCAAACGAGGACAACUUCCAACAAAUUCAGACUUGUACGGCAUCUUAUUCGAGGCCAGAUGAUUUACACGCAGAUGCUCAUGAUGAUAAUCAUUUAGAUAUGAUACCUCAGUCUCUUAGUCAGUUAGAUUACUCCGUGCUUGAUCAGCUACCUAAAGAAUUGAAGGCUGAUAUUCUUGCAUCACUGCCUCCACACAGAACCCAUCAUUAUCCUGGAAAUGACCCCAGCACUAGUGAGAAGGAUAUGCCCUCUAACCCAGAUGAAAAUCCUGGAAAUUCUAAUAUGUCUAUGUGGAUAGGAACUCCUCCAAGUUGGGUUGAGAAGUUCCAACAUAGUAAUUGUUUCGUCUUGAACAUUAUGGCAACACAGUUUGCCAGAUCUGAUACAAAUGGCCUUCUUUCUCUGACACUCCAGUCCUUGAGUCCUUUUCUACCUUCAUUUUCUGACUUAAGUUCAAUGGAAUCAGAGGAAAUGAUUUGCAGCUUGGUUGAGCUUUUCAAGCAAUAUAUUAAGCUGAAGAUUGAAUCAGAUAUCGAAGAGUUGUAUGUUUGCUCUCGGAUUUUAAGAAGGUUUGCAACAGAUUUCAAGUUCCUAUUUCAAGUGUAUGACCUGAUCCUUCCUACUCUUCAGGCUUCUAUUAGCGAGUACUAUGGGGGAAACUUUAGUCUUCCUUUCGACAAAUAACAAGCCCUUUGAAGUUGAUGAUUAUUUUUCACACAAAUGUGAAUUCUUCUACUUGCAAUUGGUUUUAUAAUAUUCAUGGUACAAGUCAGAAGAAUAAUUGUAAUUCUAAGCAUCAAUAACAGGGAAGAUCUUCUUAUGUAACUUUAUUUAUAUCGAUGACAAUCAUUUAUGGAUACGAAUAAGCAAUAUAACAAUGCCCUCUAAGCAAUGGCAUAGUAGUAAGACGUCUCCUCAGUUUUUUAGAAUUGUAAGAUCAAAUUUUAAUUUUGAUGAAUUAAUGUAUAAAUUUGUUUUAAUGAACGGUUGAUCUAAGAAAACUGGGUGUGAGCGU